CGCCCGUCAAACCACGAAAGUCAGCAAUGCCCAAAGCCGGUGGCCUAACCGUAAGGAGGGAGCCGUUUAAGGUAGGGUUGAUGAUUGGGGUUAAGUCGUAACAAGGUAUCCCUACCGGAAGGUGGGGAUGGAUCACCUCCUUUCUAAGGAGAAAGGCAUUAAAUGCAAAUAACCAAUUACUCAUCAUAUUCAGUUCUGAGAGACUUAAAAACUCUCAUAUAUAUAAUAUUAGUGGAAGCACUUUUAAAUGGGCCUAUAGCUCAGGUGGUUAGAGCGCACGCCUGAUAAGCGUGAGGUCGGUGGUUCGAGUCCACUUAGGCCCACCAUUAUGGGGCUUUAGCUCAGCUGGGAGAGCGCCUGCCUUGCACGCAGGAGGUCAGCGGUUCGAUCCCGCUAAGCUCCACCAAUAGAGAUCUUUGAAAAGUAGAUAAUUUUCUGUCGAAAGAAAAAAAAUAGGUUAAGGAAGAAAGGGCGCACAGUGGAUGCCUAGGCACUAAUAGCCGAUGAAGGACGCAACUAACGGCGAAACGCCAUGGGGAGCAGUAAGUACGCGACGAUCCAUGGAUAUCCGAAUGGGGAAACCCGCCAUGUAGAAGACAUGGCAUCUGUUAAUAAACAGAGGGGAUACGCAGUGAACUGAAAUAUCUAAGUAACUGCAGGAAAAGAAAGUAAAUAACGAUUCUGCUAGUAGCGACGAGCGAACGCGGAAGAGCCCAAGAUACCAAAUACUAGUUACAAAACUUUAUGUGAGAAGAAUAACCUGGGAAGGUUAACCAAAGAAGGUGAAAGUCCUGUAAUCGAAGCAUAAAGACUAGGGUAUCUGAAGAGUACAGCGAGACACGAGGAAUCUUGUUGGAAGAUGCGAGGACCAUCUCGUAAGGCUAAAUACUACUUAGUGACCGAUAGUGAACCA
rnacentral:sRNA from 2 species